CACGGAGGAUGCGAGCGUUAUCCGGAUUUAUUGGGUUUAAAGGGUGCGUAGGCGGUCCGGAAAGUCAGCGGUAAAAGCCCGGGGCUCAACCCCGGCGAGCCGUUGAAACUGUCGGACUAGAGACGGCGAGAAGUACGCGGAAUGCGCGGUGUAGCGGUGAAAUGCAUAGAUAUCGCGCAGAACUCCGAUUGCGAAGGCAGCGUACCGGCGCCGGACUGACGCUGAGGCACGAAAGCGUGGGUAUCGAACAGG
rnacentral:rRNA from 1 species